CAUAGGUUAAUGAGGCGAACCGGGGGAACUGAAACAUCUAAGUACCCCGAGGAAAAGAAAUCAACCGAGAUUCCCCCAGUAGCGGCGAGCGAACGGGGAGCAGCCCAGAGCCUGAAUCAGUGUGUGUGUUAGUGGAAGCGUCUGGAAAGGCGCGCGAUACAGGGUGACAGCCCCGUACACAAAAAUGCACAUACUGUGAGCUCGAUGAGUAGGGCGGGACACGUGGUAUCCUGUCUGAAUAUGGGGGGACCAUCCUCCAAGGCUAAAUACUCCUGACUGACCGAUAGUGAACCAGUACCGUGAGGGAAAGGCGAAAAGAACCCCGGCGAGGGGAGUGAAAAAGAACCUGAAACCGUGUACGUACAAGCAGUGGGAGCACGCUUAGGCGUGUGACUGCGUACCUUUUGUAUAAUGGGUCAGCGACUUAUAUUCUGUAGCAAGGUUAACCGAAUAGGGGAGCCGAAGGGAAACCGAGUCUUAACUGGGCGUUAAGUUGCAGGGUAUAGACCCGAAACCCGGUGAUCUAGCCAUGGGCAGGUUGAAGGUUGGGUAACACUAACUGGAGGACCGAACCGACUAAUGUUGAAAAAUUAGCGGAUGACUUGUGGCUGGGGGUGAAAGGCCAAUCAAACCGGGAGAUAGCUGGUUCUCCCCGAAAGCUAUUUAGGUAGCGCCUCGUGAAUUCAUCUCCGGGGGUAGAGCACUGUUUCGGCAAGGGGGUCAUCCCGACUUACCAACCCGAUGCAAACUGCGAAUACCGGAGAAUGUUAUCACGGGAGACACACGGCGGGUGCUAACGUCCGUCGUGAAGAGGGAAACAACCCAGACCGCCAGCUAAGGUCCCAAAGUCAUGGUUAAGUGGGAAACGAUGUGGGAAGGCCCAGACAGCCAGGAUGUUGGCUUAGAAGCAGCCAUCAUUUAAAGAAAGCGUAAUAGCUCACUGGUCGAGUCGGCCUGCGCGGAAGAUGUAACGGGGCUAAACCAUGCACCGAAGCUGCGGCAGCGACGCUGAUGCGUUGUUGGGUAGGGGAGCGUUCUGUAAGCCUGUGAAGGUGUGCUGUGAGGCAUGCUGGAGGUAUCAGAAGUGCGAAUGCUGACAUAAGUAACGAUAAAGCGGGUGAAAAGCCCGCUCGCCGGAAGACCAAGGGUUCCUGUCCAACGUUAAUCGGGGCAGGGUGAGUCGACCCCUAAGGCGAGGCCGAAAGGCGUAGUCGAUGGGAAACAGGUUAAUAUUCCUGUACUUGGUGUUACUGCGAAGGGGGGACGGAGAAGGCUAUGUUGGCCGGGCGACGGUUGUCCCGGUUUAAGC
rnacentral:rRNA from 1 species